GUUCCUGUAGUGUAGUGGUUAUCAUAUUUACUUUACACACGAAAGGUCUCUGGUUCAAAACCAGACAGAAACA
rnacentral:tRNA from 1 species